UACGAAGGGGGCUAGCGUUGCUCGGAAUCACUGGGCGUAAAGGGUGCGUAGGCGGGUCUUUAAGUCAGAGGUGAAAUCCUGGAGCUCAACUCCAGAACUGCCUUUGAUACUGAAGAUCUUGAGUUCGGGAGAGGUGAGUGGAAUUCCCAGUGUAGAGGUGAAAUUUGUAGAUAUUGGGAAGAACACCGGUGGCGAAGGCGGCUCACUGGCUCGUAACUGACGCUCAUGCACGACAGCGUGGGAUCAAACAGG
rnacentral:rRNA from 1 species